rnacentral:snRNA from 1 species
AUUUGAAGUAACAUAUCAAUGUUUCAUAUGCCGAUACUGAGAAGAUUAGCAGAGCUCUUGCGCAGAGAUGACACACAAACCUGUGAAGAACUCCGCAAUCUU